rnacentral:misc_RNA from 1 species
AUCAUCAUUAUCUCAAACAAAAUUAAUGCAUUAUAAACGCCGUUUCUACAUCUUAACGACUAACGUAUUAUUGAAUAGAAUUAAAUUAUCUAGCAAGUUUGAAGGAGUUGGUUUUGUCAGAUAAUGCAAUUGAAGGCUUUAAAUCUCCACAUGGUGGUGAAGAAUUACUGAAGCUAAGUAAUUUGCAGUAUCUUAAUUUGGGUUAUAAUAACUUUAGUAUCAACAAUUUAUCAUUUCUCAAUGGGCUGUCAUCUCUCAAAGAUUUACACAUAGCAAACAUUCAAUUGAAAGGAUCAUUCGAUUUGAAAGAUUUGGGUUUAAGCCAAUUAGAGGAA